rnacentral:rRNA from 1 species
GAUGAACGCUAGCUACAGGCUUAACACAUGCAAGUCGAGGGGCAUCAGGAAGAAAGCUUGCUUUCUUUGCUGGCGACCGGCGCACGGGUGAGUAACACGUAUCCAACCUGCCCUUUACUCGGGGAUAGCCUUUCGAAAGAAAGAUUAAUACCCGAUAGCAUAAUGAUUCCGCAUGGUUUCAUUAUUAAAGGAUUCCGGUAAAGGAUGGGGAUGCGUUCCAUUAGGUUGUUGGUGAGGUAACGGCCCACCAAGCCUUCGAUGGAUAGGGGUUCUGAGAGGAAGGUCCCCCACAUUGGAACUGAGACACGGUCCAAACUCCUACGGGAGGCAGCAGUGAGGAAUAUUGGUCAAUGGGCGCUAGCCUGAACCAGCCAAGUAGCGUGAAGGAUGAAGGCUCUAUGGGUCGUAAACUUCUUUUAUAUAAGAAUAAAGUGCAGUAUGUAUACUGUUUUGUAUGUAUUAUAUGAAUAAGGAUCGGCUAACUCCGUGCCAGCAGCCGCGGUAAUACGGAGGAUCCGAGCGUUAUCCGGAUUUAUUGGGUUUAAAGGGAGCGUAGGUGGACUGGUAAGUCAGUUGUGAAAGUUUGCGGCUCAACCGUAAAAUUGCAGUUGAUACUGUCAGUCUUGAGUACAGUAGAGGUGGGCGGAAUUCGUGGUGUAGCGGUGAAAUGCUUAGAUAUCACGAAGAACUCCGAUUGCGAAGGCAGCUCACUGGACUGCAACUGACACUGAUGCUCGAAAGUGUGGGUAUCAAACAGGAUUAGAUACCCUGGUAGUCCACACAGUAAACGAUGAAUACUCGCUGUUUGCGAUAUACAGUAAGCGGCCAAGCGAAAGCAUUAAGUAUUCCACCUGGGGAGUACGCCGGCAACGGUGAAACUCAAAGGAAUUGACGGGGGCCCGCACAAGCGGAGGAACAUGUGGUUUAACUCGAUGAUACGCGAGGAACCUUACCCGGGCUUAAAUUGCAGUGGAAUGAUGUGGAAACAUGUCAGUGAGCAAUCACCGCUGUGAAGGUGCUGCAUGGUUGUCGUCAGCUCGUGCCGUGAGGUGUCGGCUUAAGUGCCAUAACGAGCGCAACCCUUAUCUUCAGUUACUAACAGGUCAUGCUGAGGACUCUGGAGAGACUGCCGUCGUAAGAUGUGAGGAAGGUGGGGAUGACGUCAAAUCAGCACGGCCCUUACGUCCGGGGCUACACACGUGUUACAAUGGGGGGUACAGAAGGCAGCUAGCGGGUGACCGUAUGCUAAUCCCAAAAUCCUCUCUCAGUUCGGAUCGAAGUCUGCAACCCGACUUCGUGAAGCUGGAUUCGCUAGUAAUCGCGCAUCAGCCACGGCGCGGUGAAUACGUUCCCGGGCCU